AGAGUUUGAUCCUGGCUCAGGAUGAACGCUAGCGGCAGGCUUAACACAUGCAAGUCGAGGGGUAACAGGUCUUUCGGGAUGCUGACGACCGGCGCACGGGUGAGUAACGCGUAUGCAACCUACCCAUAACUUGGAGAUAGCCCGGAGAAAUUCGGAUUAAUACCCAAUAAUAUUUCCGAGAGGCAUCUCUCGGAUCUUAAAACUCAGGUGGUUAUGGAUGGGCAUGCGUGCCAUUAGAUUGUUGGUGAGGUAACGGCUCACCAAGUUGUCAAUGAUGGCUAGGGGGUCUAAAAGGAUAAUCCCCCACACUGGUACUGAGACACGGACCAGACUCCUACGGGAGGCAGCAGUGAGGAAUAUUGGUCAAUGGGCGAAAGCCUGAACCAGCCAUGCCGCGUGAAGGAUGAAUGCCCUAUGGGUUGUAAACUUCUUUUGUACGGGAAGAAACCGCUUUACGUGUAAAGCGCUGACGGUACCGUAAGAAUAAGCAUCGGCUAACUCCGUGCCAGCAGCCGCGGUAAUACGGAGGAUGCAAGCGUUAUCCGGAUUUAUUAGGUUUAAAGGGUGCGCAGGCGGAAAUGUAAGUCAGUGGUGAAAUCCUACAGCUUAACUGUAGAACUGCCAUUGAUACUGCUUUUCUUGAGUAUAGUUGAGGUAGGCGGAAUGUGUAGUGUAGCGGUGAAAUGCAUAGAUAUUACACAGAACACCGAUUGCGAAGGCAGCUUACUAAACUAUUACUGACGCUCAUGCACGAAAGCGUGGGGGAGCGAACAGGAUUAGAUACCCUGGUAGUCCACGCCGUAAACGAUGAACACUAGUUGUGUGCGAUAUACUGUACGCGACUGAGCGAAAGCAUUAAGUGUUCCACCUGGGGAGUACGUUCGCAAGAAUGAAACUCAAAGGAAUUGACGGGGGCCCGCACAAGCGGAGGAACAUGUGGUUUAAUUCGAUGAUACGCGAGGAACCUUACCCGGGUUUAAAUGCAGGACGAAAUUCUGAGAAAUCAGAACCCCUUCGGGCGGACUGCAAGGUGCUGCAUGGCUGUCGUCAGCUCGUGCCGUGAGGUGUCGGGUUAAGUCCCAUAACGAGCGCAACCCCUAUCAUUAGUUGCUAACAGAUCAAGCUGAGGACUCUAAUGAGACUGCCACCGUAAGGUGUGAGGAAGGUGGGGAUGACGUCAAGUCAGCACGGCCCUUAUAUCCGGGGCUACACACGUGUUACAAUGGUCGAUACAAAGGGCAGCUACACCGCGAGGUGAUGCAAAUCUCAAAAAUCGAUCUCAGUUCGGAUUGGAGUCUGCAACUCGACUCCAUGAAGUUGGAUUCGCUAGUAAUCGUGCAUCAGCAACGGCACGGUGAAUACGUUCCCGGGCCUUGUACACACCGCCCGUCAAGCCAUGGAAGCUGAGGGUACCUGAAGUCUGUAACCGCAAGGAGCGGCCUAAGGUAAAAUUAGUAACUGGGGCUAAGUGGUAACAAGGGAACCAAGGGCGAA
rnacentral:rRNA from 1 species